GUGGGGAAUAUUGCACAAUGGGCGAAAGCCUGAUGCAGCAACGCCGCGUGAAGGAAGAAGGCCCUUGGGUCGUAAACUUCUGUUCUAAGGGAAGAUAAUGACGGUACCUUAGGAGCAAGUCCCGGCUAACUACGUGCCAGCAGCCGCGGUAAUACGUAGGGGGCGAGCGUUAUCCGGAAUUAUUGGGCGUAAAGAGUACGUAGGUGGUUAUCUAAGCGAGGGGUUUAAGGCAAUAGCUCAACUAUUGUUUGCCCCGCGAACUGGGUGACUUGAGUGCUGGAGAGGAAAGCGGAAUUCCUAGUGUAGCGGUGAAAUGCGUAGAUAUUAGGAGGAACAUCAGUGGCGAAGGCGGCUUUCUGGACAGUAACUGACACUGAGGUACGAAAGUGUGGGGAGCAAACAGGAUUAGAUACCCGAGUAGUCC
rnacentral:rRNA from 1 species